AGGACGAACGCUGGCGGCGUGCCUAACACAUGCAAGUCGAACGAGGUCCAACCGGUGGCAACACUGGUGAAGACCUAGUGGCGAACGGGUGAGUAUCACGUGAGUAACCUGCCCCGAAGACUGGGAUAACACCGGGAAACCGGUGCUAAUACCGGAUGUCCCCACCGAAUCGCAUGGUUUGGUGAGGAAAUGGAUUCCGCUUUGGGAGGGACUCGCGGCCUAUCAGCUUGUUGGUGGUGUAACGGACCACCAAGGCUUCGACGGGUAGCUGGUCUGAGAGGACGAUCAGCCACACUGGGACUGAGACACGGCCCAGACUCCUACGGGAGGCAGCAGUGGGGAAUCUUGCGCAAUGGGCGAAAGCCUGACGCAGCAACGCCGCGUGAGGGACGAAGGCCUUCUGGGUUGUAAACCUCUUUCAGCAGGGACGAUGAUGACGGUACCUGCAGAAGAGCCCGGCAACUACGUGCCAGCAGCCGC
rnacentral:rRNA from 1 species